rnacentral:lncRNA from 1 species
UCCAACCACGCCUACUGAGAGAUGGACACCACUGACCACCAUGGACACCACUGACCAUCACCAACCAUCACUGACCAUCCAUGGACCAUCCAUGGACACCCACUGACCAUCCAUGAACACCACUGACCAUCACUGACCACCAUGGACACCACUGACCACCUGCUGGACAUCCAUGGACAUCUGCUGGACACUGCUGGACACUGCUGACCACCCUCUGGCCACCUGCUGACCACCUGCUGACCAUCCAUGGCCCUCCUGCUGACCAUCCAUGGACCUUCUGCUGACCCCUGACCUCCUGCUGACCCCUGACCAUCCUGUGGUCACCCUGUGGUCACUCAUUGUGGUCACUCAGUGGUCACCCUGUGGUCACUCAGUGGUCACUCUGUGGUCACUCAGUGGUCACUCAUUGGUCACUCAGUGGUCACUCUGUGGUCACUCAGUGGUCACUCAGUGGUCACUCAUUGGUCACUCUGUGGUCACUCUGUGGUCACUCUGUGGUCACUCAGUGGUCACCCUGUGGUCACUCAGUGGUCACUCGGUGGUCACUC